UGUCGUGUCGAUAGCAUAGAGGACACACCUGUUCCCAUACCGAACACAGAAGUUAAGCUCUAUAGCGCCGAAAGUAGUUGGAGGAUCGCUUCCUGCGAGGAUAGGACGACGCGGUGC
rnacentral:rRNA from 1 species